GGAAUUUUGCUCAAUGGGGGAAACCCUGAAGCAGCAACGCCGCGUGAGGGAUGAAUGCCUUCGGGUUGUAAACCUCUUUUUUCAGGGACGAUGAUGACGGUACCUGGAGAAUAAGUCACGGCUAACUACGUGCCAGCCGCCGCGGUAAUACGUAGGUGACCAGCGUUGUCCGGAUUUACUGGGCGUAAAGAGCGCGCAGGCGGUCCUUCAAGUCGAGUGUGAAAGCCCCCGGCUCAACUGGGGAGGGUCAUUCGAUACUGAUGGACUCGAAGGCAGGAGAGGGAAGCGGAAUUCCCGGUGUAGUGGUGAAAUGCGUAGAUAUCGGGAGGAACACCAGUGGCGAAGGCGGCUUCCUGGCCUGUUCUUGACGCUGAGGCGCGAAAGCUAGGGGAGCAAAC
rnacentral:rRNA from 1 species